UACAGAGGGGGCAAGCGUUGUUCGGAAUUACUGGGCGUAAAGGGCGCGUAGGCGGCCUGUUAAGUCGAACGUGAAAUCCCCGGGCUCAACCCGGGAACUGCGUCCGAUACUGGCAGGCUUGAAUUCGGGAGAGGGAUGUGGAAUUCCAGGUGUAGCGGUGAAAUGCGUAGAUAUCUGGAGGAACACCGGUGGCGAAGGCGGCAUCCUGGACCGAUAUUGAUGCUGAUGCGCGAAAGCCAGGGGAGACAAACGGGAU
rnacentral:rRNA from 1 species